UGCGCAUGGCCAGGCUUCUGAUAUAGAAGUAGAAGCUCAGCAAAUUUUAAAAAUAAAAAAGAC
rnacentral:tRNA from 1 species